GACGAACGCUGGCGGCGUGCUUAACACAUGCAAGUCGAACGUGAUUUUUGUGGAAAUUCCUUCGGGAAUGGAAGUGAAAUGAAAGUGGCGAACGGGUGAGUAACACGUGAGCAACCUACCUUACACAGGGGGAUAGCCGUUGGAAACGACGAUUAAUACCGCAUGAGACCACAGAAUCGCAUGAUAUAGGGGUCAAAGAUUUAUCGGUGUAAGAAGGGCUCGCGUCUGAUUAGCUAGUUGGAAGGGUAAAGGCCUACCAAGGCGACGAUCAGUAGCGGUCUGAGAGGAUGAACGGCCACAUUGGAACUGAGACACGUGUCCAAACUCCUACGGGAGGCAGCAGUGGGGAAUAUUGCACAAUGGGGGGAACCCUGAUGCAGCGACGCCGCGUGAGCGAAGAAGGUUUUCGAAUCGUAAAGCUCUGUCCUAUGAGAAGAUAAUGAC
rnacentral:rRNA from 1 species